rnacentral:lncRNA from 1 species
AAGUUGGAAUUGUACAAUUUUUUCCACUUGACUAAAGUCUUUUCUGUAAUUAUUCAAAGACGGGCCAUGUGGAUGUGAUGAAGGCUGGGAGCAACAUGGAGGAAAGUGUUAUUACUUCUCUACCAAUAAAUCAUCCUGGACAGAGAGCAGAGAUGACUGCAGGGCUAAAGGAGGAGACCUGGUUAAGAUAGAUAACUGGUGUGAGCAGAUUUUUCUAAAAACCAGAUUGAAUAGAAAAAUGGACGACUUUGACGACAUGUUCUGGAUUGGCCUGACAGAUGCAGUGGAAGAGGGCAGAUGGUUGUGGUUGGAUGGCUCACCACUAAACACAAGUUUGUCUUUUUGGGCUGACCAUGAGCCGGACAACUGGACUAAUGAAAAUCCUGAUGGAGAGCAUUGUGUAAGGAUGGGGGAGGAAGAAGGGGAAGAACCUCUGAAGACUUGGUAUGAUAUGUUUUGCAAAGCUCCUAAUAAGAGCAUUUGUGAAAAAUGGGCAAAAACAGAUUGACUGACUGUUUUAUUUCAAACAUGUAAAUAUAACUGAACUAACAAGAG